CCUACGGGAGGCAGCAGUGGGGAAUAUUGCACAAUGGGGGGAACCUUGAUGCAGCAACGCCGCGUGGGUGAAGAAGUACUCCGGUAUGUAAAGCCCUGUCAGCAGGGAAGAAAAUGACGGUACCUGACCAAGAAGCCCCGGCUAACUACGGGCCAGCAGCCGCGGUCAUACGUAGGGCGCACGCGUUAUCCGGAUGUACGGGGUGUAAAGGGAGCGUAGACGGCAAGGCAAGUCUGGAGUGAAAGCCCCGGGCCCAACCACGGGACUGCUUUGGAAACUGUGUAGCUGGAGUGCAGGAGGGGUAAGCGGAAUUCCUGGUGUAGCGGUGAAAUGCGUAGAUAUUAGGAGGAACACCGGUGGCGAAGGCGGCUUACUGGACUGUAACUGACGUUGAGGCUCGAAGGCGUGGGGAGCAAACAGGAUUAGAUACCCUUGUAGUC
rnacentral:rRNA from 1 species